UACGGAGGGUGCAAGCGUUAUCCGGACUCACUGGGUUUAAAGGGUGCGUAGGCGGCUUGAUAAGUCAGGGGUGAAAGCCCGCAGCUUAACUGCGGAACUGCCUUUGAUACUGUCGAGCUUGAAAGAGGUUGAGGUCAGCGGAACGUGACAUGUAGCGGUGAAAUGCAUAGAUAUGUCACAGAACACCGAUUGCGAAGGCAGCUGGCUGGACCUACUUUGACGCUGAGGCACGAAAGCUAAGGUAGCAAACGGG
rnacentral:rRNA from 1 species